GACGAACGCUGGCGGCGUGCCUAAUACAUGCAAGUUGAGCGCUGAAGGUUGGUCCUUGUACCAACUGGAUGAGCAGCGCACGGGUGAGUAACGCGUGGGGAAUCUGCCUUUGAGCGGGGGACAACAUUUGGAAACGAAUGCUAAUACCGCAUAAAAACUUUAAACACAAGUUUUAAGUUUGAAAGAUGCAAUUGCAUCACUCAAAGAUGAUCCCGCGUUGUAUUAGCUAGUUGGUGAGGUAAAGGCUCACCAAGGCGAUGAUACAUAGCCGACCUGAGAGGGUGAUCGGCCACAUUGGGACGGAGACACGGCCCAAACUCCUACGGGAGGCAGCAGUAGGGAAGCUUCGGCAAGGGACGAAAGUCUGACCGAGCAACGCCGCGUGAGUGAAGAAGGGUGUCGGAUCGUAAAAAUCUGUUGGUAGAGAAGAACGUUGGUGAGAGUGGAAAGCUCAUAAAGUGACGGUAACUACCCAGAAAGGGACGGCUAACUACGUG
rnacentral:rRNA from 1 species